AUGCGAUACUUGGUGUGAAUUGCAGAAUCCCGUGAACCAUCGAGUYUUUGAACGCAAGUUGCGCCUGAAGCCUUCGGGCCGAGGGCACGCCUGCCUGGGCGUCACGCAUCGCGUCGCCCCCCCAACUCCGCUCGAACAAAGCGGAUGCGUGGGGGGCGGAAAUUGGCCUCCCGUA
rnacentral:rRNA from 1 species